rnacentral:rRNA from 1 species
AUUGAACGCUGGCGGCAUGCCUUACACAUGCAAGUCGAACGGCAGCACGGGAGCUUGCUCCUGGUGGCGAGUGGCGAACGGGUGAGUAAUACAUCGGAACGUACCCUGAAGUGGGGGAUAACGUAGCGAAAGUUAUGCUAAUACCGCAUAUUCUGUGAGCAGGAAAGAGGGGGAUCGCAAGACCUCUUGCUUUAGGAGCGGCCGAUGUCGGAUUAGCUAGUUGGUGAGGUAAAGGCUCACCAAGGCGACGAUCCGUAGCGGGUCUGAGAGGAUGAUCCGCCACACUGGGACUGAGACACGGCCCAGACUCCUACGGGAGGCAGCAGUGGGGAAUUUUGGACAAUGGGCGCAAGCCUGAUCCAGCCAUGCCGCGUGAGUGAAGAAGGCCU